CAGGAGCCAGCCUGUGCUGGGGAGGCCUGUGGAAGACAUGGGGACGCGUCUAUGCUGAUGAGCUGCAGCCUCCUCAGGACCCGCGGGGAGGCUUCAGGAAGAAGUGGGCCCACAUUCACGCUGACAGGAGCCCUGAGCACCUCACGGCCCGCGGGGAAACUUCAGGAAAUUGUGGGCCCCCACCCACGCUGACAGGAGCCUCUGAGCUGCCUCAGGGCCUGUGGGGAGGCUUCAGGAAGAUGUGGCGAUGCGUACACUCUGGCAGGAGCUCCUGGGCCCCUCAGGACAAAAGUUGAGGCUUCUGGAAGCUGGGGGCCGCAUUCAUGGUUACAGGAGCCCUGGCCUCUUAAGAACCCUCGGCGACGCUUUGGGAGGACUUGGGGCCUCAUGGACACAACAGGACGCUGACUUCCUCAGGACCCCUGGUGUAGACUUGGGGAAAUAUGUGGAUGCGUCCAUGCGGACAGAAGACCCCAGCCUUGUCAAGGCCUGUGGACCUGCACUUUGGCUUCGGGACAUAAGGGGCUGCGUGUAUGCUGACAGGAGCCCACAGCCUCCUCAGGACCUGCGGUGAGUUUUCUGGGGGACGUGGGGCCAUGUCCAGGGUGACAGGAGCCCCCGGCCUCCUGAGGACCUGCUGUGAGGCUUCCAGAGGAUGUGAGGCAUAGUCCACAGUGACAGGAGACCCAGUGUCCUCAGGACCCGCUGACUAUGCCUCAGGAACACGUGGGGCCACGUCCUCACUCACAGGAGCCUGGCUUCCUCAGAACCCCUUGGAGGAAUCUGGAGGAGCCAUUGGGGGCCACGUCCACAUCAGAAAGGACUCCUCAGAACCACAGGGUAAGUGAAAGGGUAGAAUGAAUGGUAGGGUUAGGGGAGGGGAGGAAGUUGGUGGUUAACCUUAGGUUAGAUGUUAGGGGUUAGUGAUUAUGCUUAUGGUUUCAAAUUAGAGGUUAGGUGAGGCAUAAGGGUAUUGGUCAGUGUUAAGAGUUAGGAUGGGGGUUAGGGUAAGGGACAGGAUUUAGUGUUAGGGUUAGGGUUUAGGCUCUAGGGAUUAGG
rnacentral:lncRNA from 12 species